CAGUGGGGAAUUUUGCGCAAUGGGGGAAACCCUGACGCAGCAACGCCGCGUGGAGGAUGAAAUCCCUUGGGAUGUAAACUCCUUUCGAUAGGGAAGAUAAUGACGGUACCUAUAGAAGAAGCCCCGGCUAACUUCGUGCCAGCAGCCGCGGUAAUACGAGGGGGGCAAGCGUUGUUCGGAAUUAUUGGGCGUAAAGGGUGCGUAGGCGGUCUGACAAGUCUGAUGUGAAAUCUAUGGGCUCAACCCAUAGUCUGCAUCGGAAACUGUCGGGCUUGAGUAUGGGAGAGGUGAGUGGAAUUUCCGGUGUAGCGGUGAAAUGCGUAGAUAUCGGAAGGAACACCUGUGGCGAAAGCGGCUCACUGGACCAUUACUGACGCUGAGGUGCGAAAGCGUGGGGAGCAAACAGGAUUAGA
rnacentral:rRNA from 1 species